rnacentral:rRNA from 1 species
CCCUUAGAUGUUCUGGGCCGCACGCGCGCUACACUGACGAAUGCAACGAGCUUAUAACCUUGGCCGAAAGGUCUGGGUAAUCUCCAAAUUUCGUCGUGAUGGGGAUAGAUUAUUGCAAUUAUUAAUCUCCAACGAGGAAUUCCUAGUAAACGCAAGUCAUCAGCUUGCAUUGAUUACGUCCCUGCCCUUUGUACACACCGCCCGUCGCACCUACCGAUUGAAUGGUCCGGUGAAAUCUUGGGAUUUUGUUUUGUUUGCAUUUAUUUGUAUCGAGACGAGAGAACUUGAGUAAACCUUACCAUUUAGAGGAAGGUGAAGUCGUAACA